GAUGAACGCUGGCGGCGUGCCUAAUACAUGCAAGUCGAGCGAACAGACGAGGAGCUUGCUCCUUUGACGUUAGCGGCGGACGGGUGAGUAACACGUGGGUAACCUACCUAUAAGACUGGGAUAACUUCGGGAAACCGGAGCUAAUACCGGAUAAUAUUUCGAACUGCAUGGUUCGAUAGUGAAAGAUGGCUUUGCUAUCACUUAUAGAUGGACCUGCGCCGUAUUAGCUAGUUGGUAAGUAACGGCUUACCAAGGCAACGAUACGUAGCCGACCUGAGAGGGUGAUCGGCCACACUGGAACUGAGACACGGUCCAGACUCCUACGGGAGGCAGCAGUAGGGAAUCUUCCGCAAUGGGCGAAAGCCUGACGGAGCAACGCCGCGUGAGUGAUGAAGGUCUUCGGAUCGUAAAACUCUGUUAUUAGGGAAGAACAAACGUGUAAGUAACUGUGCACGUCUUGACGGUACCUAAUCAGAAAGCCACGGCUAACUACGUGCCAGCAGCCGCGGUAAUC
rnacentral:rRNA from 1 species